rnacentral:lncRNA from 1 species
UAAUCAUACUCUUUUUGGUUUUCUUUCUUUUUUUGGGGGGGGGGGGGGUUCGAGACAGGGUUUCUCUGUAUAGCCCUGGCUGUCCUGGAGCUCACUUUGUAGACCAGGCUGGCCUCGAACUUAGAAAUCCGCCUGCCUCUGCCUCCCGAGUGCUGGGAUUAAAGGCGUGCGCCACCACGCCUGGCUUUUUCUUUUGUUUUGAUAAGGUGGCAGUAUCUCUCUAGCCCAUGUAGCCCAGGCUGGCCCUGAACUGUAAGCUUUUUCCAUUCCAGCCUCCUGGCUUAUACAAACUAAGUGGCUUUUCUUUCCUGUCCACCUGCUUGGUUUUGGCUUUUCAAGAUAGAGUCUCAGGUACUGCAGGUUGACCUUGAACUUGCUAUAUAGCCAAACAAAGAACCUUGAAUUUGCAAGUGUUGGGAUUACAGGUAUGUGUCACCAUAACUAGCAAGGCUUUCUUUCCUCUUACCUUCUUUUCACCUUAUUUAUUUAUUUAUUUAUUUAUUUAUUUAUUUAUUUAUUUUUGGUCAUCAAUAAGAAAUUCCCUUGUGUAUGUGUGUUUGUUUGUUUGUUUCUUUUUUAGCAUAUAAAUGCUAGCAUUGUCCAAAAAACUGUAAGAGAUUGAUUUCUAAUUGUCUUGAAGUUGAGCUGCUGGGAGUUGCCCAAAGAAAGGCUUGGCUCUAUUGGGCUUUACCUCCCGUGUUUGGAUUGGAAAUCGAGUACAAAUGAAAAUGGAAAGCCCGCCAGCACCUGACUCUGCCCCAUUUUUCUACGCAGAAUCAUGCCUUUUGACCCCACAGGGACGAAUCUGACAUUCAGAAUUACUGAUGAUAGCAGGACAAAGGGGUUUAUUGUUUGCUUCGCUUUGUUAUAUUUCUCUCAUAGUAGAUUCUUUUUGGGGGGUCAGGGUUUGAGACAGGGUUUCUCUGUGUAGCCCUGGCUAUCCUGGAACUCCCUCAGUUGAUCAGGCUAGCCUCCAACUCAGAGAUCUGCCUGCUACUGCCUCCUGACUCUUGGUUCCUGGCACUAACAGUGUGCUCUACCAUGCUCGGCUCUUAUUGUAGAUUCUUAAGCCUUCAGGCAUGCUAGCUGGAGUUCUUUGGCAUAACUGUUAGUUUGCAUGGCUAGCACACAGCUGGUAUCCUCAGAAAGGCCUGGCUUGAGUCCUGUGAAGCACCAGUAGCUGUACUCACGUCCUGGGUCUGGCCCAGAUGCUAACCAGAGUCUGGAUCAGAAGUGCAGCAGAACAGAGUGCCACAGUACCACGUGGCACAGAGAGGUCCCCUCACCCCUGCAGUAGUGCAAGCAGCUAUGGAGCUAAUAGUUUACUAGGUGCUUUUCUGCUGGUGGGUAUGGAGCUGUCCACUUCAUAGGAACAACCGUAUAGAGACCUUCCUCACUAUCUCCCUCGUAUAACCCAGCCAAAAGCUAGAGGCUGCAUGUCUGUUCUUAAAUCACACUAAAUUGAUACCUCAAGAACUAUUUUUAGUGUAAGUCCUCAUGUCAUUGAUUUUUAAAUUCUUUCCUAAAAUUUGUAUGUUGUAGUUUUAAAUGCUUUCUUCAUGUUUGCUGUCUAACAUUGUUAAGAAAAGUAAGGAAAAUUUGUAUUUGUAUUAAUUUGUCAGAGUGUCUCAAGAACAGCUUUUUAAAAAAUUUUUUUCCAUUGUCACUUGCAAAUAUUUUAGAGUUUAUAGUAUAAUUACACUUUUUUCCAAGUAUUUUGGAUAAAUAGAAUAUUCAGCAUAUAAAGAUAAAACUAAGUUAAUAAGCCGGGUGUGAUGGUGCACACCUUUAAUCCCAGCACUCGGGAGGCAGAGGCAGGCGGAUUUCUGAGUUCGAGGCCAGCCUGAUCUAUUUACAAAGUGAGUUCCAGGACAGCCAGGGCUACACAGAGAAACCCUGUCUUGAAAAACC